rnacentral:misc_RNA from 1 species
GUCUUCGUGUAAAUUAGGAUGAUGACUGAAAGUAUUACCACUCCAGUAUUUCUUUAUAUAUCCUUUGGGAUAUAAAGUGGGGUUAUAAGUAUGCGCGACGCCGUAUUCGAAACAGCUAUUUUGGUACUGAUGAACUUUUGUUUGAAGAUGGAACCGGUAGAAUUUGUUGCUGUAAAAGAAGAAAACAGUAAUGACGAUCUUGAGAACAACUAUUCACCCUUUGAUCCCUUUGAAAUGGAGGAAAGAAAACAAGAAUUGACAGAUGCACUGAAGUACUGCAUAGAUUUGUUGAAGGAUGCUCAGGUUAUUUCAGAUUUAGCUACAGAACAAAAUAGCCAUAGAACCAUUUCCAUGCGGUCUCAGCUCAUGGGAAAAGAAAUUCAACGUAGGAUCAUGGAUAUGUUGUUUUCCAUGAAGUUUAUAGAGGAUGAAGAGGAUGUGAAAGUGGUUGAAGAGCCGAUAUCCAAUUCACUGGAAAAUUCAUGUGACUUAAAUGAAAGGGAUUCAAGAAAUGACAGUACUAAAUCUGCUGAAAAGAUGCCGAUGCAUAGAAGAGCACGAGACGCGCAAGCUCUCAAAACGUUAUACGAGAACGAGCAGGAGGACGAAUUAUCUGAAGCGAGCGAAAGCGAGACAAUUGAUAAUGUUAAGUCAGAGAACUCGCACGCUUUGGAAACCAAUGUUGAGGACGACAGCGAAAAAGAAACGAGCGAGCGAGAGGCGGGACAGCAGGCAGGUACGUCGGAGCAUAAUACAGAACUACCGUGCAAGCGAGGUCAUCCAGCUCACCUGUAUACAAAAAGUGGGAUCAAGUGGUCGUUGAAUGCUCCAAAACCAAGAGAUAGAAGAUUACAAUCUAUUCACAAGCCUGUUGUAAAAGAAAAGCAAAGACGAACAUGUUUAACCUAUGAAAAUAAAAUGUCUAUCUUAAAAGAUAUUGAAGAGGGAAAAUCAUAUAAUGAAAUUUUGAAAACAUGUAAAAUUUCAAAAGCGUGUUUAUAUCGCAUUAUAAAAAAUAAAGACCAAAUUAUAAAUGUAUCAAAUAGAGAAGAAUUUAAGAUAAAAAAAAGGAACCUCUCAUGCAAAGACAAAAUGUUAGAAGAAUGUGUAUUCAAAUGGUUCCUUCAAGCAAGAGCAUUGGGACAAUCCAUUUCGGGACCAAUUUUGCAAGCAAAAGCUUCACAAUUAAAUAAAUUAUUGAAAGGCUCUCCAAAUUUUAAAUUUGUAGUAUUAAAGUUCACACAAAAAGAUGAUCAAAGUGAUAACAAAAUUAAUUAUGAGAUUGGUCUUGUGAAAUGGCUAAGUGACAUAGAUGAAGAAAUGAAAGGUUUUAUCUAUUGGCCUCCAUUUGAUGCAAGUAAUUUUGUAAGAAACAAAACCUGUUGAUCACUCUUGGUCUCGGUAUAAAGUUGAAGUUCUAAAAUAUUAUGACUUUUUAUAGAUAAUGAUCCUGAUGAUGAAAUUAAAAGGAAAUCUAGCAAAAAAUCGGUUCCUGCACUUUCUUUUAAAAGCUUACAGGAUAAAAACAUAAUACAAAAAUCAAAAGCAUCACAUAAUUAUAAAGAUUUGUCUUUAAAGGACUUUCAAUCCACUUACAAAAACUUGUCCCAAUAGCAAUAUUAUUGAAAAACUAAAAAAAAUACGAGAGAUGAAGAAUACAAACAACGUUAAUUGUACACCUAUAGCACAAGAGUCCAACCAUAACAGAAUCAUGUUUUGUAACAAAUCAUGUACAAAAGAUACAAUAUUGGUUAAAAAAAGUAGUUCUUCGUAAAACUCUGAUUCGUCUUUGGUGGAAAAUAAUGAACCAGAAAACUCUGUUUUGUCUUCGGAAGAUACAAAUAUCGAUUUGAAAUAUGGCAGAGGAAAGGAAACCCUAAAUAAUUCUUUUUCACAACCAAGAAGCUUGAGUCCAAUUAUUAAGUCCAAUUCUAAAUAUUACAAAUGUGUCCUUUCAAGUUUAUCAAACAAUAAAUCUUUUGAAAAUCAAGAUG